ensembl:lncRNA
UGUAUUUUCAAGGCCACCACAGGCCCUCUUCUAAAUAAGAGACGGAGGAGCUGGGCUGUGUGUGCUGGGGGAGUCAUUUUUCCUCACGCAUCUCUGGCCAAAGGCCCCCACCCAGCGAGUGAGCUGGUUUCCUGCCUUUGCCAUGCUCUGGUCAGAAUAGGUUCAAGGUCAGCUCCAAACCCCUUGAGCAGUGCCCUUCCUGCCGCUGCUAUAUUUGUGUUCAAGAAGAGAAUGAGCGAGGCAGCAGCCCUUCCUCAAAGGAGCUCGCUGAGAGGUGGGCACUCCUGCUGCUCUCUCCACAUUCUGCAGCCUGCCCAGCUCCCAGCAUCCCCUGCAGCCACCAGCCUGUGCCUGUCCCUGCAGAGUGAGCCUUGCCUGGGGGAAGCACACGGGGCUGCAGCAGGCAACAGAGACAGAAAUGCCCAGGGUUCUUUUCCCCAGGCUGGGAAGAGCUUGCUGCAAGAACCACUGGGUAAACCAUGGCUUCACACAUGUGUUUGCUUCAGGGUGCUGGCAGGCCAGGACUCUCUGCUGCCUGUGCCUCACAAAGUGAUCGUCACUCACAAAGUCCUGCGGAAGGCCAGAGGAAACCUGGAGCUUAGGCCCGGAGGGGCCCACCCGGGGACAGCCAGUCCCAGCAGACCCGGCUCCUGAGGAUGACUGCCAGCCAAUUAAGCCAAUAAAGCUUGUGGCCCCAGAUCACGCCAUGUGUCUGUUUCCCAUGUGGCUCCUGGUGGUGGAGGAAGAAUUGGCUGAUUGGCCCUAGGACAUCUGUCCUUCUCUCGGUGCUUUGUCCCAAGUUCGCUUAAGGGUGGUCGUCCCAGAGGUUCAGGGGCUCUGAGACGAGGGCUUAGGAAGGCCUUGCACUCUGGGAUGCUGCACUGGGUUUGAAUCUGCGCAGGGAUCUGGGGCUGAGGCUGUGCCUUUGGUGGCUUCACAGGCUCCCCUGAGUUUGCCUAGUUCUCCCAGCCAGCACCAUGGUUUAAAGCUUCUUAAAUGACUCACUUCAUUUCAAUGGCCUGAUUUGGGGAUUGUGUGGGACCUGAGCCCCAACUCCCAUGUGGGACGGGCCAGGGUCUCAGGAACCCCAUGGCCCUCGGGUCUUGCCCAGAUCUCACUGCUGAGCCCACUCGGGGGUGUUCAGGGCAGGGACUCCCUGUGGCCUGGCUCUGGGCACUGUGCCUUCGCCCAGUGAUCUUGCAGAGCACUCAUCUGAGGUGGCACUGUUCCUCAUUAGGAAGGAGCUGUGUGAGCCCGGAGCUGGGACUUAGCCUUUGGACUGGCCCAGUGGGGAUAGUGACUUGUCCCCUCAGCUGUUUGCACUGCUGCUGGCAUUCUUGCUGCUGCCCUGUCAUGGAUCUUCGUGCCUGGUUAUCCUUAUCUAUGCCAUAAGCCUCGCAGUGUCCCUGAGAAAUAAACGAAGCAGGGCUGAACCGCCUUUGCAGAUGGGUCUCAGGCCUGGUCCCAGGUGUGUGGCCCCCCCUGAGAGGCAGGGGCAGACUGGGAUGCUGUACGACCUGGGCUUGCUCUUACUGCCUCAUGACCCCAAUCCCAUUAUCAGGUGCCAAAGAGCAGGUUCCGGCCAGCAGAUGGGCCUUGGUUGAGGAGCCCACAGAACCCUGACUCAGUCUCUCUGUCCCCAUUUCUGCCAUCAUUGUGCGGACUUGAGCAUCUGUUUGGGUGACCCCUCAGUUUGCUUUCCCUCUGAAGUCCCGCAUGCUGAUACUCGGCCUCUGGCCACAGACUGCCAGGCUUCCAGCCUGCUGGCUGCCUCACACUCUCCUCUGACUCCUCAGAGAUUCUCAUCUCUGCCCUGUACCCUUUCUUCUGUCUCUUGUGGAGGUGGUCAGGGUCUCUGCACCGGAAGGCCAAGGUCUUAGCCUGUGAGUGGUGGAACUGGGCCUCCAUCCCUCCUGUCCUUCUAAACCCAGGAGUGGCUGCCCUCGGCCUCCAGACAUGAUGAUGAUCCAAAGUGAUGCAGCUGCUUGGCUGGAGACAGAGGGAGCAGAAUGCAGGGAAGUCCAGGACAGGUGCAUCCCAGACACCGUGAUCCUCACCUCCAUCCAUUCAGUGAGGGGCUGGGCAGGUGUCUGGAGGAUGCUUCCGGUUUGGCUUCCCAUCGCCUACUUUCUUCUUGAGUAGCUGCACCUUGUUUUUGUACUUGCCCACAUGUGAAAACUAGCUCCAGACAUCACAUCACAAAUAGAGUUCCCUUUUCCAGAAGUCAUGUCAUGGACUUCCUGAGAGGAAGCUUAGUCUGCUGAGGAGUGCAGAGGAGGUCUGGAUUCCAGUCCUGGCUCUCAUAUUUCUGUCCUCAGUCUCCACAUCUGGCAAAUGAGAGUCCCUCUUCUGCCUAAUCCUGGUGAUAGUUGUGAGCUUCAACAUUUGGAAGGAGCUGGAGAACACUUGCCAAAAAUCAGUGACUCAUCUUCACUGUCUCUGUGGCUGGUCCUGAGCAUGUUUUUAUAGUGCUUUUUGGAAUUCCUUUGUCAAAUGUACACAAAUGUGCGCACGCUCGUGUGUGUGUGUGUGUGUGUGUGGGGG